UCAUAUAUCUUCCCAUUUUUAUUUAAGUUAUUACCGUGUGCUACAAGUAACAUAUUACUAGAGAUGGCAAAAUGGGUGGGUCGGAUAGAUUGCAUAAUGGGUCAAAAUAAGGCACAAAACCCAUAAGGUAAAAAGAAAAUAAUUAACUUUUUUUAAUCUAUUCAAACAUGUUAUUAAUGCCAAAAGUUAUUUCUUUUUAUUUUCUAGACGAGCAUUGUCUUUACAUUAGAAGAAGGGCCGGGUGUUGUUUAAACCAUUGCCGUGUUCGCUCUAAGGGAGAUCAACUUAUCAAAGAUCGAUAGCCGGCCGCAAAGGAAACGUCCGCUCAGGAUUGUUGAUGGCAGCAACAAGGGUAGCGCCAAGUGAGUGCAACUAUAGCCAGGUGGAAAUUUAAGAAUUUGAAAGUUCUUUUUUCUAACUCAUUUUUGACUUCCACAGAUACUUUGACUACCUAUUUUACAUUGACUUUGAAGCUUCGAUCGCGGAGCCUCGUGCCCAAUAUUAUCUAGGACAUCUACAGUCAUGGAUUGCAACUCUAUGAAGAGAAAUUGCAGGAGAAGAACGAUUGGAGCAGGUACACCCAUCCUUUAAUUAAAUAACUAAACUUGCAAUAGUUGGUUUAAAGUCUGGUUUGGUGAGGGAACAACCAUGGUGGGAGACAAGCCGCCACGAACAGUCACAACGACCAUCAUGGGAGCGAGAAUAACAAGAAUGGGUUCAAUAUCAUCCUCGCCAAUAUGAUGGUAAGUGUUGAUGGAAAGUUGAUGGUAUGUUCACGCCCCAUGUUUUCGACUACGCGGCAACGUACGGGUUUCCCACUAUAUAUUAAUACAACUUAAGGUGCUAACACUACUUUGGGGGAUAAAUUAUCUAUUAACUUCUCAUAAAAUAUAUUGUUGAAGGGUUGUUGAAGGUAUGCACCUAUUACUUCAUCUCAUUUUUAUAUUAUAAUAUAAUAUAAUAUAAUUUGUGGUUGAUUUAAUGUUGUUUUUGUUUUUACGCUGAAUGGUUCUAUUUGUCGUCUUGGCUUUGACCCAUUUUUUAUAAAACUAAGUUACGUAUAUAACUCAUUUGACAUGGUUAAUUUUUUUUAAUAAAUAUGGAUAUUAGCUUAGGUGAAACAAAUGGUUCUAUCCAUUUUUUGCCAUAUAAAAGUGUUCAUUUUCAGUUUCUUAUCUUCCUAAUAAGUGUGUUUUUUAUUCUUCAAUGAACGAGGUUGCAAUACUAGAAUAUAUACAUCUGUUAGUUGAAACUAUAGACCGUCAUUUUGGCAGUGUGGUAAGUCUUACAACAUGUAAACAUCAUAGAACUAGAGGUUGCAAUAUCUAUUAGUUAACUUAUGAAUGACUUGAUCCAGGUCGCGUUUUAUCUCAACAGGUCAAAUAAAAAAUCAACUAAAAGGAAAAACAGGUCAAAUGGGUUGACAUGUAACAUAUUAGCGGAACCACCACUUUUCUUUUGAUUCUAUUGGAUGUUUUGUUUCAACCUGAUGAAGUAGAAAGGCCUAAAGUUGUUUUGGACAUCUUCAUGGGACCCUCAAAAACCAAUGUCCUCCGGUGGAGAAACCAAUCAAGACAAGCUUGAAGCCACAAAGAAGAAGCUUCAAGAACUUCUGUUGACGACAGGUAACUCCGACUCAAGGUUACCGAUUACAAAAUCCUGCUCAUAAACAGUGAUGCGGUGACAAUAUCUGGUGGAAAUGCACAUUUAUCCAUGGAUCAGGAGUGGGUGCUGUUAGAAGGGUUGCUGGAGCUGAUUUUAGGAAUGGUAAUGGUUGAUAUGUUGCUUGCUAUACAUACAGUUGCCAAGGUGUUGCUUGCUAUACAUACAAUUAUGCAAGUUUUUAUUUGAAUUUUGGUCAUUUAAAUCAUAAUUUGAUUACAAUUAAGGUGUUAAAAUGGGCAGCUUGAGUGUGUUGGUUUAACAGUUUAAAAUGGAUCCAUGUCAAAGGUCAAAACGGGUCAUUUUUUAGUACGGAUUGAAACCUCUAAUAUUUACAAUUAUUCAAGGUUUUUUAUAGACUUUGGUCACCCUAAUCAUAAUUCGAUUACAAUUAAGGUGUUGAAAUGGGCUGGUCAAGUGUGUUGGAUAACUGUUUAAACUUGAUUCAAGUCAACACGGGUCAUUCUUUGGAACAGGUCGAACCCUCUAUUAUUUAAAACUAUGAGUUUUUUUCUUUAGAUUAUGGUCAUAUUAAUCAUAAUUCGAUUGCGGUUUUUGCCCUUUUAGUAGGUAUGUCAACGGGUACAACCGAAUUAUUUUUAGUUCUUUUAUUUAUAUGGGGUGGGGGGGAGUUGUUCUUUUGGUUCUAUCUUUUUUUUUUAUUUACAUGGGGGAGUUGUUCUUUUGGUUCAUUCUUUUUUUAUUUAUAUGGGGGAGUUGUUCUUUUAGUUCAUUCUUUUGGUUCAAAGAAACAUCUCUUAACAAUGUGUUUAUUCUUCCUUCACUGUGGACCUCUCUCCAUUAGAGUAUUAGAUUAAAUUCCAAAGAAUUAUGUAAGAUUUAUGUGAAUUGAAAUUUUAAUUCUUUGUUUAUUGUUAUAUGUGAUAAAAAUACUUCAUAUUUUGUGAUUGUUGUUGUAUAUCAAAACCAGCAAAGCUGAGAGGAGUCAUUCAUUCCUCAUGGUGAUCAAAAGAGAGACAAGGAAUUUUUUUUGUUAGAGGUUGUCUUGCAUUUAUACGGUGGAAAUAAAAGCCACAUGAGCCGGUAGGAGCGUUUUUUAGCUUCUUGAUUGUGUUUUUUUAAUGCUAGAAGCAUAAAAGAAAUGUCCUUUGGGGUUAGUUUUGUAAUUUAUGAUGUCAUUAGUCUUAUACUCAAAAGGAAGAGUAGGCUAUUUAAGCUACUUUUCUUAUAAUAUUUAUUAGAAGGUAACACUUACAAUAAAAAUUAAGGGAAGAAUGAGGGCAUUAUUAUCAUGUAUAUUUUUGACUCAUGAACUUUUCAAAUCAUCAUAGUUUAUUCAAGCACAAUUUUGAUUGUUAAAA